UGGGGAAUAUUGGACAAUGGGCGAAAGCCUGAUCCAGCAAUGCCGCGUGAGUGAUGAAGGCCUUAGGGUUGUAAAGCUCUUUUACCCGGGAUGAUAAUGACAGUACCGGGAGAAUAAGCCCAGGCUAACUCCGUGCCAGCAGCCGCGGUAAUACGGAGGGGGCUAGCGUUGUUCGGAAUUACUGGGCGUAAAGCGCACGUAGGCGGCUUUGUAAGUUAGAGGUGAAAGCCCGGGGCUCAACUCCGGAAUUGCCUUUAAGACUGCAUCGCUUGAAUUGUGGAGAGGUAAGUGGAAUUCCGAGUGUAGAGGUGAAAUUCGUAGAUAUUCGGAAGAACACCAGUGGCGAAGGCGACUUACUGGACACAUAUUGACGCUGAGGUGCGAAAGCGUGGGGAGCAAACA
rnacentral:rRNA from 1 species